AUUGAACGCUGGCGGCAUGCUUUACACAUGCAAGUCGAACGGCAGCGCGGGCUUCGGCCUGGCGGCGAGUGGCGAACGGGUGAGUAAUGCAUCGGAACGUGCCCAGUAGUGGGGGAUAGCCCGGCGAAAGCCGGAUUAAUACCGCAUACGACCUGAGGGUGAAAGCGGGGGAUCGAAAGGCCUCGCGCUAUUGGAGCGGCCGAUGUCGGAUUAGCUAGUUGGUGGGGUAAAGGCUUACCAAGGCGACGAUCCGUAGCUGGUCUGAGAGGACGACCAGCCACACUGGGACUGAGACACGGCCCAGACUCCUACGGGAGGCAGCAGUGGGGAAUUUUGGGCAAUGGGGGCAACCCUGAUCCAGCAAUGCCGCGUGCGGGAAGAAGGCCUUCGGGUUGUAAAACGCUUUUGUUCGGGAAGAAAUCCUCUGGGCUAAUACCCCGGGGGGAUGACGGUACCGGAAGAAUAAGCACCGGCUAACUACGUG
rnacentral:rRNA from 1 species